GCGUAGGUAGUAUAAUGGUUAUUAUCUCGGUUUCCCAUCAUCUGGCUGCGGUUUAUCUGCAGAUUUUCAUACCGAGGACCCGAGUUCGAUUCUCGGCCUACGCA